AUCCCAACUGCACUUUUGGGCAGGACUCUUACAAUUACACCACCACCAUGGCAUUUCAGAUUUAAAUAGCUGAAAUCAUGAAAUUUACAAUUUUUAAAAUCCUAUGACCAUGAAAUUGACCAAAAUGGACUGUGAAUUUGGCAGGGUCCUAUCUAUAGGCCAUGAUUUGAAC